rnacentral:rRNA from 1 species
GAUGAACGCUGGCGGCGUGCCUGAUACAUGCAAGUCGAGCGAACAGACGAGGAGCUUGCUCCUCUGACGUUAGCGGCGGACGGGUGAGUAACACGUGGAUAACCUACCUAUAAGACUGGGAUAACUUCGGGAAACCGGAGCUAAUACCGGAUAACAUGUUGAACCGCAUGGUUCAACAGUGAAAGACGGUCUUGCUGUCACUUAUAGAUGGAUCCGCGCCGCAUUAGCUAGUUGGUAAGGUAACGGCUUACCAAGGCAACGAUGCGUAGCCGACCUGAGAGGGUGAUCGGCCACACUGGAACUGAGACACGGUCCAGACUCCUACGGGAGGCAGCAGUAGGGAAUCUUCCGCAAUGGGCGAAAUCCUGACGGAGCAACGCCGCGUGAGUGAAGAAGGUCUUCGGAUCGUAAAACUCUGUUAUUAGGGAAGAACAAAUGUGUAAGUAACUAUGCACGUCUUGACGGUACCUAAUCAGAAAGCCACGGCUAACUACGUG